rnacentral:rRNA from 1 species
GAUGAACGCUGGCGGCGUGCUUAACACAUGCAAGUCGAACGAGAAUCGAUGGAUAGAGGAUUCGUCCAAUUGAAAUCGAGGAAAGUGGCGGACGGGUGAGUAACGCGUGAGGAACCUGCCUAGGAGUGGGGAAUAACAGUCCGAAAGGACUGCUAAUACCGCAUAAUGCAGUUGGGUCGCAUGGCUCUGACUGCCAAAGAUUUAUCGCUCUUAGAUGGCCUCGCGUCUGAUUAGCUAGUUGGUAGGGUAACGGCCUACCAAGGCGACGAUCAGUAGCCGGACUGAGAGGUUGGCCGGCACAUUGGGACUGAGACACGGCCCAGACUCCUACGGGAGGCAGCAGUGGGGAAUAUUGGGCAAUGGGCGCAAGCCUGA